UACGGAGGGUGCAAGCAUUAAUCGGAUUUAUUGGGCGUAAAGGGCGCGUAGGCUGGAAGAUAAGUCAGUUGUGAAAUCCCUGGGCUCAACCCAGGAACUGCGUCCGAUACUGGAAGGCUUGAAUCCGGGAGAGGGAUGCGGAAUUCCAGGUGUAGCGGUGAAAUGCGUAGAUAUCUGGAGGAACACCGGUGGCGAAGGCGGCAUCCUGGACCGGUAUUGACGCUGAGGCGCGAAAGCCAGGGGAGCAAACGGG
rnacentral:rRNA from 1 species